GCUUACAGACUCGGAGACUAUUUGAACUAUGAACAAUUGGUACCUUAUUGGUUCCAAUAUUUAAAAGAUUUUCAAGAAAUUAUGGAGUCAUUUUCAAGUAUUCAACGGAAAUACUACGAUUAUCACCUCGAGUUAAUAAAUAAAAAGAGCG